GUCCGCCAUUUUGCCGCUCAAGCUGAAGCAUACUGUCUUGCUUUGCUCAGAUCGUUAUCAGAUUUUUUGUGUAGAUGUGUGAACCCUGUGACCUGUUGAAAGGUGCAGGGAUUCAUACGAUUCAACGGUCAGGUUUUUGAUUUUGCCGAAACCUGACCUAGAAUUCUCCGGUGUCAGAGAGGACAUCGAAGAACCAAGAUUCCAGUCAACUGGAUGGCGAGCCAACCUAUGAUCCUUCAAAAGAAAUUGGACUUCCACGUUCCUCACUCCACAGUGUGGAACAAGUGGAUAUUGCCAUAAGCGCAUUCUGACCCUUCGUGCACUCCCUGUGUACCUACAGGAGGAUGGCUCACAAUUCUUCCAGACCUUCUGUGUAAGUACUCAAUUCACG